GUCCACGCCCUAAACGAUGAUUACUCGAUGUGUGCGAUACACUGUACGCGUCUGAGCGAAAGCAUUAAGUAAUCCACCUGGGGAGUACGGCCGCAAGGCUGAAACUCAAAGGAAUUGACGGGGACCCGCACAAGCGGUGGAUGAUGUGGAUUAAUUCGAUGCAACGCGAAAAACCUUACCUACCCUUGACAUGUACCGAAGCCCGCUGAGAGGUGGGUGUGCCCGAAAGGGAGCGGUAACACAGGUGCUGCAUGGCUGUCGU
rnacentral:rRNA from 1 species